CCACACAUAUACAACCAUGCAUACACACAUACAUACGCACUAACAUUCCUCUGUCUAUGAAUAGACGUAUUCACUGUUGUAUUACUUUUCUUGUGUAUAAAUAAAGACAAGUGCAAGAACAGAGCGCGCACAUCACAGGGCCCCCACUCUCGUGUGAGCGCUCUGUGACCGCCCUUGCAAGUAAAAACUACAGUGUGUUUCUACCUUUCAGACUCUCAGCUGAAGAAGUGUCUUUUAGAAUAAAUCUCUUGACAUCUUCUAAUUUCUUAAACCAAACAAAGACACAAUACUAUUCAAAUAAUAUAUUUUUUAAAUUUUAGGAUACGGUGUUCUGGGAAUCCAUCCUACCCGUUGUUUCUGCGCAUGCGCACGACACAAAAUUAAGUGACAAAUCAUCCUACCUUUGUUAAUAAGAGCUAGAAACAUACUCUGAUGGGUAAAGUUAAGUGCCAAACCGUCAUACCUACUUACAUUUGUGCUGGAAUUACUCUGUGACAGCAGAAAUGUGCAUACUUAUGGUAGGACGUUUUGCCAAAGUAGGAUGGUUUGUUGGGGAGAAGUUUUAUAUAAGAUGAAACAACAGGAAAGGCUGAAAGUUACAACUAAACUGUUUUCUGUAAAAGCUUUUUAGAGUUUAGUAAAGUUUUUCUUUAUUUUCAGCAUGAACUGAAACAACCUGAAACAUUUUCUGACACAAAAAACAGUUAAAGUUCAAUUUAUUUUGUACCAAUAACAAGUGAAACUUACAAUGAAUUCUAUCGGGUGGUGACGUCAAAGAAUCAUGAGCGGGAAUCUAGAGCCUGAAUUUGCCUGUGCAAGAAAAAAAAGCCAGAUGCCUGCUCAUUGUUUUGACUACCCAAGAGCAACAACAGAUGUGGAAAGGAAAUGACUCAAACUGAAGCUAUGAAUGAAAAUCCAAACGUUUUUGUUUUGGAGACAGCUGCAGAGCUGCUAUAGAAAAGUUCACCCCAAAUCCAAACCUACACAAAUGGCCAACAAACUCAAACUUGGCAGCAACUUCAUAAGGCCAACAAAUAAAGUAAAUCUCAUCAUCAAAUUUAAUACAAAAAGCAAACUAAAUGAUAAUAGAGUUUUUUUGAGCUGGACAUUUUAUUAGAUGAGAGCAAUGACUUUGUAAUUUUUAAUUGUGUUUGUAACUUAUACUGACUGUGUUUGUCAAACUGUAAUAACAAACAACAGCCAGGAGAAACUCUGAAACUGCUUUACUGGCAUCACCGUGUACCCGUGUGUGGGUAACACAUUCCUGCCUUUUUCUGUCACUUUUUGAGAUAUUUAAAAGAUCUGAAAAGAAGAAGGACAUUGAACUCUGGGUGUACAGAAGACAUUUGGAAGGAUUUACAUCUGAGCUGCCACAGCGGAGACAAUUGUCUUUACUUAUUAUAAAAGCUUUUGAUUACUUCAUCAUCAGCUUAAGAAGACAAUCAGUCAAUUUCAGACUUACAGGAAAAUACACCUUUUCAUCUGGAAGUUGAGUAGAACUCAAUUUACAACGAAACAAGAAACAUUGAAGAUGACAGCUCGUCGUUUCGACUAACCUAAAGGAAUGGACGAUGAGGAAAAGAAAAUAUUCAAACGUGAAACUCUGAUGGGAAAAACGCAGAGAUUCUCUAUGAAGACACAUAUCAAACUGGUAUAAGAUGCAACCUAAUUUUCUUCACCCGAUCUGGAGCACACUACAGGGCUGCAAUAGAAGAAGCAUCGAAGGAUAUUCAAAUGGACAACAAACUCAAACUUGAGCUCUCUAAUUGAGGCACUGUGUCCGUAUUUCCCAGUGGAAAGAUUUAGAUUCAAGGUACAGAAGAAAACCUUGAUGCAUUUGAGAAAAUGUUUAACAAAAUGAAACAACAUGUAGACACAAGUAAAGAAGAACAGAUGAUGAAAACAUUACAGCAAAU